rnacentral:rRNA from 1 species
AGCGAACGCUGGCGGCAGGCUUAACACAUGCAAGUCGAGCGGGCACUUCGGUGUCAGCGGCAGACGGGUGAGUAACACGUGGGAACGUACCCUUCGGUUCGGAAUAACGCUGGGAAACUAGCGCUAAUACCGGAUACGCCCUUUUGGGGAAAGGUUUACUGCCGAAGGAUCGGCCCGCGUCUGAUUAGCUAGUUGGUGGGGUAAUGGCCUACCAAGGCGACGAUCAGUAGCUGGUCUGAGAGGAUGAUCAGCCACACUGGGACUGAGACACGGCCCAGACUCCUACGGGAGGCAGCAGUGGGGAAUACUGGACAAUGGGCGCAAGCCUGAUCCAGCCAUGCCGCGUGAGUGAUGAAGGCCUUAGGGUUGUAAAGCUCUUUUGUCCGGGACGAUAAUGACGGUACCGGAAGAAUAAGCCCCGGCUAACUUCGU